UCCCUCGGGGGAACCUGCGGAGGGAUCAUUACCGAGUUUACAACUCCCAAACCCAAUGUGAACCAUACCAAACUGUUGCCUCGGCGGGGUCACGCCCCGGGUGCGUCGCAGCCCCGGAACCAGGCGCCCGCCGGAGGGACCAACCAAACUCUUUUCUGUAGUCCCCUCGCGGACGUUAUUUCUUACAGCUCUGAGCAAAAAUUCAAAAUGAAUCAAAACUUUCAACAACGGAUCUCUUGGUUCUGGCAUCGAUGAAGAACGCAGCGAAAUGCGAUAAGUAAUGUGAAUUGCAGAAUUCAGUGAAUCAUCGAAUCUUUGAACGCACAUUGCGCCCGCCAGUAUUCUGGCGGGCAUGCCUGUCCGAGCGUCAUUUCAACCCUCGAACCCCUCCGGGGGGUCGGCGUUGGGGACCUCGGGAGCCCCUAAGACGGGAUCCCGGCCCCGAAAUACAGUGGCGGUCUCGCCGCAGCCUCUCCUGCGCAGUAGUUUGCACAACUCGCACCGGGAGCGCGGCGCGUCCACGUCCGUAAAACACCCAACUUUCUGAAAUGUUGACCUCGGAUCAGGUAGGAAUACCCGCUGAACUUAAGCAUAUCAAUAAGCCGGAGGA
rnacentral:rRNA from 1 species